UACAGGGGGGGCAAGCGUUGUUCGGAAUUACUGGGCGUAAAGGGUCCGUAGGCGGCCAACUAAGUCCGACGUGAAAUCCCAAGGCUUAACUUUGGAACUGCGUCGGAUACUGGAUGGCUUGAAUUCGGGAGAGGGAUGCAGAAUUCCAGGUGUAGCGGUGAAAUGCGUAGAUAUCUGGAGGAAUACCGGUGGCGAAGGCGGCAUCCUGGACCGACAUUGACGCUGAACGACGAAAGCUAGGGGAGCAAACGGG
rnacentral:rRNA from 1 species